ensembl:lncRNA
CAGAAGGGAAGCCUGUGUAGGCUGACACAAAUGGUUGUCACACGCCAUCUAGUGGCUCUAUGAGAAAGUGUGCUCAUUUCCAGGGAAAGAUUUUUGGAGCCAGCUUGUCGGCUUCGGAAUUUCAGCGCCUGCCAGGAAACCAAUGUACGUUUGUCCAUCUUUAAGGCUUUAAACUGAGAGGGACCACUGAGGACAGCAUGCCAAAUUAUCUUCCAAAAUCUCUGUCCUAAGGAACACCUAGGAAGUAACUAUUCAGGGGAACUGUUUUCUUCCUGGAUUCGGAGCGAAACUGGGAAGUCAUCGGAGAAAGCUUUGCCUGCAACAGUUGUGGUAUAAAACAAGCCUCUAUGAGACACACUGUGGGUAUCCCUUGGUCCAUAGUCCUAUAUGCAAACCACUGAAGAGGGGAAGUGGACAGAGGAUUAAGAGUGUGUACUUUGUCACCAAACUCCCUGGCUCGGAAUCCUGGCUCUGUGACCUUUGGAAGCACACAUCUAUCUACUCCUUGAAGAAUCCUGACUCUUAAGCCUCAGAGGAAGAGCCUUGAGCACACGCCGCUGGUCUGCCAGUCGAAGAGAUGUGGAGCUGGUGUUUGGAUUGAGUCCCUAAGCAAAGUGCCAGAAGCCCAGUUCACCUGACCGUCAGCCAUGUGGAGCCGCUGCCAGCCCUGGGUGUCUGCAGCAGCCCGAUGUAGCCGCCACGGACCCAGAGCAGCAGGCAGUGAUGUGAAAACUGAGGCUUCAAGACGAUGAAUAACUGUCAGGCCAAUCACUGGAAGUAGCCACGCUGGUGUUUCACACUGGGUUAUCUGACACAGAGUACUCUUCUUCAGUGACGUCCUGAAUAUCCUGUCCAAAGACACAGCUUACAUCCUCACCUGUGAUCCCAACCCUGGCCUUCCCAGUAGCUUAAAACGUUGUUGACUAGUUCCAAGGAAGAUGUCUCCCGGUGACCGUAAGAGAGGGGUUAGGUUCUUCAUUUCUUCCCCCAGGUCUCCAUCCAUUACUAUAAAGCGACUCCAUAUAGGAACAAUAUAAAUAAAAAUAGUGUGAACUUGCUAUGCAAACACAACCUCAAAGCAAGACCUCAGGAGUCACCUUCCA